CAGUGAGAAACACCGCCCCUUCGUCGGUCCCGCCCCCAAAGGGCCUGAGGGAAUCCAGCCAAUGAAACCUCCCUACUCAAAGGACACGCUCCUCAUUCAGCCAAUGAGCUGUUCUUUGCCAUGUUCCCCAUCGGGCCUCCAGGCGGCGCCACGACCACAUAACAGCCUUUCUUGCCAGGCUCAGUUCAGUUCAGUCGCUCAGUCAUGUUCGACUCUUUGCGACCCCAUGAAUUGCAGCACGCCAGGCCUCCCUGUCCAUCAGCAACUCCCAGAGUUCACUCAAACUCACGUCCAUCGAGUCGGUGAUGCCAUCCAGCCAUCUCAUCCUCUGUCGUCCCCUUCUGGUCCUGCGCCCAAUCCCUCCCAGCAUCAGAGUGUUUUCCAAUGAGUCAACUCUUCGCAUGAGGUGGCCAAAGUACUGGAGUUGCAGCUUUAGCAUCAUUCCUUCCAAAGAAAUCCCAGGGCCGAUCUCCUUCAGAAUGGACUGGUUGGAUCUCCUUGCAGUCCAAGGGACUCUCAAGAGUCUUCUCCAACACCACAGUUCGAAAGCAUCAGUUCUUCAGCGCUCAGCUUUCUUCACAGUCCAACUCUCACAUGACAUACAUGACUACUGGAAAAACCAUAGCCUUGACUAGACGGACCUUGCCAGGCUAGACCUGAGCAUUUGGCUGCCAGCGUGAUUUGGACCGAGUUCAGUGGCUAAGAACGUGUUUUCAGAGACAAAUUCAGUGUACUCAUCUGGAAGAUGGGGAGGUUGUAAGAUCUGAUGAAAUGAUUGAGGCAAAGCAUGUCAUGCGUGAAACAUGCAGAGCAUUAUUAUAUUAUUAUUAUUAAUUGAAGGUAAGUUUUGUCAUCAAAUCAAGACAAGAACCAAGGCAGGGAAAGGGGUGGGCACUGGAGGACCUGAAUGCUGUGCUAAAGAUGUAAGACAUUGUUUCUUUUCUUUUUUAAAUUUUCAUCUGAUAUAUGACAUAUGGAUAUUUUUGUGAAGUAUUAAUGAAAAUUUACAAUGUUAUAUUUCAUUGUGUACUCUACUCUUGUAAGAACUGUG
ensembl:lncRNA